rnacentral:rRNA from 1 species
GUCUAUGACCAUGCCACCCUGAACAAGCCUGAUCCUGUCUGAUCUCAGAAGCUAAGCAGGGUCGGGCCUGGUUAGUACUUGGAUGGGAGACCACCUAGGAAGACCAGGUGCUGUAGGCA